rnacentral:rRNA from 1 species
GGGGCGACGCUACCUGCAGUCGACGGUAACAGGAAACAGCUUGCUGUUUUGCUGACGAGUGGCGGACGGGUGAGUAAUGUCUGGGAAACUGCCUGAUGGAGGGGGAUAACUACUGGAAACGGUAGCUAAUACCGCAUAACGUCGCAAGACCAAAGAGGGGGACCUUCGGGCCUCUUGCCAUCGGAUGUGCCCAGAUGGGAUUAGCUAGUAGGUGGGGUAACGGCUCACCUAGGCGACGAUCCCUAGCUGGUCUGAGAGGAUGACCAGCCACACUGGAACUGAGACACGGUCCAGACUCCUACGGGAGGCAGCAGUGGGGAAUAUUGCACAAUGGGCGCAAGCCUGAUGCAGCCAUGCCGCGUGUAUGAAGAAGGCCUUCGGGUUGUAAAGUACUUUCAGCGGGGAGGAAGGGAGUAAAGUUAAUACCUUUGCUCAUUGACGUUACCCGCAGAAGAAGCACCGGCUAACUCCGUGCCAGCAGCCGCGGUAAUACGGAGGGUGCAAGCGUUAAUCGGAAUUACUGGGCGUAAAGCGCACGCAGGCGGUUUGUUAAGUCAGAUGUGAAAUCCCCGGGCUCAACCUGGGAACUGCAUCUGAUAC